ACUCUGGCUUACUUGGGCAUGUUAAAAGUGAAUUCAGGAGCUGCAGUGCUUGAGAACUAUGGGUGAUUCAUAAACCAUCUGCUUACAAUAUAUACCAAAAUUGCAUCUAACUAAACAAUAGCACACAAGGACACAAAAUCUCAUGCACUGGAAUUUAAAGAUUUAUGAGACAUUUUCAAGUACCACCAGUUAAUGGAUCUGAGGUCUGUGUGACUUAAUUCUUCAGCAAGUACUUUCGCCAAGAGGAAACUAAAAAGUGAGCUGGGCAAAGGACAAAUAUGAAUGAAUGCCAACUAUGUCUCUGCAAAUAUUUAUUGUAAGAAACGAAAACUGCUUUUCAAGUUUGGAAAACUUCUGUGUAGUCCUCUCAGGUUUGGUUUUGUUAGUCUCAUUUAUUUUUUGCCAGAGGCUUUUGCUAACGCUAGUUUUGACACAACUAAAGGCUAAAACUAAAACAUUUACUUCUAAAGAAUUUUCUUCAAAAGGAACCACUUCUAAAAUCAUCAGAUGGUUGUGCUAAAGAGCAGGUGAACUUGAGGGUCUCAGCGCUUGCCUCAGAGAUGAGUGCCUCAGGCACUGGCAAUGGAGUUACAACCAGGUGCUCAGAGUGGGAGAUGCUUCCAUAAGAGCACUUGUUUCAUUGUUCUUCUAUGCUGCAUAAUCCCAUUCACUGCUUUUUAUUUGCUCUCAAUUUGAAACUUGGCAUCUUCCUCCAUUUUAGAAUGACACACACACACACACACACACACACACACACACUCUAACAUUUCAAACAAAGAAAUGUUAAACAACUACAAUUCAAGUUCAGGCAGCAGCACCUCUACACUCCGCAGUUCUUCAAUGAGGCUUAACAUUAUAUAAUCUCUCACAUGAGAGAAUUUAAGUGCGAAUAGCACUCUGAUUUUUGAAAAACCACAUUAUAACAAUACUAGGUCCUGAAAAUAGUAAAUCAGAAAUGUGCUGGUUUGCUGGAUUCAGCAGAACAAUGAUUUUUUUUUUGUCUUCUUUUAAAAAUGAUUUUUUUUUUAAUUUUUUCCAUCAUACCUGGCUUACUGUGCUCUCUCAAUUUUCUAGUAGAGCAAGAUGACCCAGUAACACAUACAUAUAUACAUUCUUUUUUCUCACAUUAUCAUGUUCCAUCAUAAGUGACUAGAUAUAGUCCCCAGUGCUAUAUAGCAGGAUCUCAUUGCUUAUCCAUUCCAAAGGCAAUAGUUUGCAUCUAUUAACCCCAUAUUCCUAGUCCAUUCCACUUGCUCCCAUGCCCCUUGGCAACCACAAGUCUCUUCUUCAAGUCCAUGAUUUUCUUUUCUAUGGAAAGGUUCAUUUGUGCCAUAUAUAAGAAUGCAGAUAUAAGUGAUGUCAUGUUAUUUAUCUUUCUCUUUCUGACUUACUUCACUCAGUAUGAGUCUCUACUUCUAGCCAUGUUGCUGCGAAUGGCAUUAUUUUAUUCUUUUUAUAGUUGAGUAGUAUUCCAUUGUGUAUAUAAACCAUAUCUUCUUAAUCCAUUCAUCUGUUGAUGGACAUUUAAAUUGUUUCCAUGUCUUGGCUAUGGUGAAUAGUGCUGCAAUGAACAUAUAGGUGCAUUUGUAAAGAUUUGUCUAGGUAUAUGCCCAAGAGUGGGAUUGUGGGGUCAUACGGUAGUUCUAUGUAUAGUUUUCUAAGGUACCUCCAUACUGUGUUCCAUAAUGGUUGUACCAAUUUACAUUCCCACCAACUUUGUAGGAGGGUUUCCUUUUCUCCACACCCUCUCCAACAUUUGUUAUUUGUGGACUUGUUAAUAAGGGCCAAGCUGUCUGGUGUGAGGUGGUAUUUCAUAGCAGUUUUGAUUUGCAUUUCUCUAAAAUCAGGGAUGUUGAGCAUUUCUUCAUGUACUUGUUGGCCAUCUGCAUAUCUUCUUUGGAGAAAUGUCUAUACAGGUCUUUUGCCCAUUUCUCAGUUGGAUCGUUGGCUUUUUUGCUGUUGAGUUGUGUAAAUUGGUUUUAUAUUUUAGAGAUUAAGCCCUUGUCCAUUGCAUCAUUUGAAACUAUUUUCUCCCAUUCUGUAAGUUGUCUUUUUGUUUUCUUUUUGGUUUCCUUUGCUGUGCAAAAGCUUUUUUGUCUGAUUAGGUCCCAUUGGUUUAUUUUUGCUUUUAUUUCUGUUGCCUUCAAAGACUGACCUUAGAAAACAUUUGUAAGGUCGAUGUCAGAGAAUGUUUUGCCUAUGUUCACUUCCAGGAGUUUGAUGGUGUCUUGUCUUACAUUUAAGUCUUUAAGCCACUUGGGGUUUAUUUUUGUGCAUGGUGUGAGGGUGUGUUCCAGUUUCAUCGAUUUGCAUGUGCCUGUCCAGUUUUCCCAGCACCACAUGCUGAAAAGAUUUUCUUUCUCCCAUUUUAUGUUCUUGCCUCCUUUGUCAAAGAUUAAUUAACCAUAGGUUUCUGGGUUUAUUUCUGGGUUCUCUAUUCUGUUCCAUUGGACUGUCUGUUUUGGUAUAAGAACCACACUGUCUUGAUGAUCGUGGCUUUGUAAUAUUGCCUGAAGUCAGGGAGAGUUAGGCCUCCUGCUUGGUUUUUGUUCCUCAGAAUUGCUUUGGCAGUCUGGGUCUUUUGAAGUUCCAUAUCAAUUUUUGGAUUGUUUGUUCUAGUUCUGUGAAAAAUGUCAUGGGCAAUUUGAUAGGGAUUGCACUGAAUCUGUAGAUUGCUUUGGGUAGUAUGGCCAUUUUCACAAUAUUAAUUUUUUCAACCCAAGAGCAUGGAAUAUCUUUCCAUUUCUUUGCAUCUUCUUUAAUUUCCUUCAUUAAUGUUUUACAGUUCUCAGCACAAAUUCUUUCACCUCCUUUGUCAGGUUUAUUCCCCAGGUCUUUAAUUUUUUUGUGUGUGUGCAAUUUUAAAAGGUAUUGUAUUUUUGUAUUCCUUUUCUAAUAUUUCAUUGUUAGUAUACAGAAAUGUGACUGAUUUCUGAAUGUUAAUCUUAUAUCCUGCUACUUUGCUGAAUUUGGUGAUCAGUUCAAGUACUUUUUGGGUUGAAUCCUUAGGGUUUUCUACAUAUGGUAACAUGUCCUCUGCAUAGAGUGACAGUUUUACCUCUUUUUUUCCAAUUUUGAUACUUUUGUGUGUGUGUGUGUGUGUGUCUGAUUACUGUGGCUAGGACUUCCAAUACUAUGUUGAAUAACAGUGGUGAGAGUGGGCAUUAUUGUCUUGUUCCAGAUUUUAGUGGGAAGGCCUUUAGCUUUUCUCCAUUGAGUAUUAUAUUUGCUGUGGGUUUGUCAUAAAUGACUUUGAUUAUGCUAAGGUAUGUUCCCUCUAUAUGCACUUUGGUAAGAGUUUUUAAUUAGGAAUGGAUGUUGGACUUUGUCAAAUGCUUUUUCUGCAUCUAUUGAGAUGAUCAUAUGGUUUUUGACUUUUGUUAAUGUGGUAUGUGAUGUUAAAUGAUUUGCGUAUGUUGAACGAUUCUUGUGAACCUGGGAUGAAUCCCACUUGGUUGUGGUGUUUGAUCUUUGUUUUUUUUCAUUUUUUAAAAUUUUUUCAUUAUAGCUGUUUUACAGUGUUCUGCCAAUUUUCUACUGUACAAUGUGUUGACCUUAUUACACAUACAUAUAUAGACUCAUCAGAAGUGAUUGGACAUAGUUCCCAAUGCUACACAGCAGGAUCUCAUUGCCCAUCCAUUACAAAGGCAACAGUCUGCAUCUAUUAACCCCAGAGUCCCAGUCCAUCCCAAUCUCUCCUCUUCCCACUUGGCAACCACAAGUCUCUUCUCCAAAUCCAUGAGUUUCUUUUCU
rnacentral:lncRNA from 1 species